CUAGAUAUCUGUUAUCUUGUAUUCCAGUUCUAGUAUUUUAGGUACUUUGAACUCAUAUAUGAAAUUAUUUCUUUUUCAGGACAUGAUAUAGGAUCCCUACAACUUGUGAAUUUAAGAAGCAUAAAAGGAAACAAUUAAAGAGAACACAAGGAAAAAAUGCUGUGAGUAACGUGCACAAGCCCAGUGAACACAGUCCACCCAAAAAAGAUGAUACUAAUGAUUAUCCAAGGUUACUGGGAAAUCUGCAGAUCCGACCGGCUCAUCUAAUGGCAAGAAGUCCCAGCACACGCUUUACGUUCAACAAUCACUAAGUAUACUUGAGUUUAGUGGACUACCAAUGUUGUUGAACAUGAAAAGGAAGGGAUAAAGGCAAGAUUGUACUUUUCUCAAACAAAGUUACGCUACUCAAGCGUCAAAGUUCUUUCAUGUAUUGCAUCGCUUUGUACUGACAAAAGGCCUUCACACAUAUAUCAAUGGGUAUGGAGUUCUGGAUCUGUUCAGGUAUGUUGAAGUGUCACAAUUAGAGGUGCAAUUCACUAUUUUCAUCUGCACCACUUUUUUCGGUACAAAGAAUACUCUUCUGGCAAUUGCCGCUCGUAAUUUAUGUCCGUAAGUUGGAGCAGAACUAUGGGGAUUUGUUUCUCAACUGUUUGUGUCACAAGGUGUUAUGAUGUACUUCAGCCGUUAGGACUUUCCCAUCAUUAGAAACUUAGUUCAAACGAUUUAUUGGACUUCAGUUAGUUUCUCGUAGAGGGAGAAAUUGAGCUUUCUGCUGAAACAUGAACAAUUAUACUCCCUCCGAUCCAUAUUACUUGUCAAUCAAUAUGGAUCAGAGGGAGUACUGAAUAUUUCUACUGGUGUAUGGUUACUUCUCUGGGAAAAAACAAUGGUCGGGCCAAGUGCAAUCUAAAUUGUUGUACUGAAUUGAGCUACUUUACUGAAGAAACAAUGGUCAUGUUUAUCCACACUUUAUUUAGGCAAGGAAAGUAUAUUCAUAUACAGGGCAAGCACAGUUUCAGUUUUGUGCCAUAAAGAGAGGAGUUCAAGUGUUCUGUUCAGAACAGAGAUGUCCAUGUGUAUAAGGAAUGGCGAGGUAUGGAGAAAAUACACUAUAAUUCUUCCUGGAUUCUAUUUCUUCUACCUGAACCUGAAGGCAUAGUAUGACAGCAUAGUGCGGCUAGCCGGCUACUAUUAACAGAAUUAACCAACAGCAGCUUGCUCUCUGAUUUCAAAUUAGCAUGUUUCAAUUAAUUCAUCUGUAACCUCUGCGCUUUAUUCAUAUGAGCGCACAAACAAGACAAUCAUCAAAACAGUUUUAUGUUCUCAGAAAUCGUGCCUAAGUGCAUUCUUCUCAGUUCAGAGAUAUGCACUAAGGAGGUUGAUCUUAGCACACACUCAAGUAAAAGUAACUCUAGCAGAAGACAGUACAAUGACUCCAAUGCCAUGAGAAACAGAGGCAAAGGGUAACCCCGGUAUUGGUACGUCAAGGAUGAGAUUAACAAGAGUGUAGGAAAGCAGAAAGUGACAUUGCCCGAGGAGGUACAUAGCACCAGGUCCUGUACUAUUAAAUUCCAGCCAAAAACAUACUCGCACAGAAGACCGCCGAGCAAAAGAGUUGAUACCAAAUCAACCAUGUUUGAUUUUAUACUGCUCCAUGCACGAUACAUAUGCCACGAACACAACAUAAUUACCAGUUUCAUCUCUCUCAAGAACAUAGCAAAUGGUGGACAUGUUCAAAGCAUCCGAUGUGUCAUGUUGGCAUUAACUUUUUCUUCAGUGUUAAAAACUUAAAAUUAGUUCCGGGAAUACUUAAAUAUGGAAUAUUAUGUCUUC